rnacentral:rRNA from 1 species
ACAUGCAAGUCGAACGAAGUAGCAAUACUUAGUGGCAGACGGGUGAGUAACAUGUAGGUAUCUACCCUUUGGCCAGGAAUAACACGAGGAAACUUGUGCUAAUACCUGAUAAGUCUUUACGGAGAAAGCUUUAUGCACCAUUGGAUGAGCCUGCACUUGAUUAGUUAGUUGGUAGGGUAAAGGCCUACCAAGACUUUGAUCAAUAGCUGAUUUGAGAGGAUGAUCAGCCACAUUGGGACUGAGACACGGCCCAAACUCCUACGGGAGGCAGCAGUGGGGAAUCUUGCACAAUGGAGGAAACUCUGAUGCAGCGAUGCCGCGUGAGUGAAGAAGGCCCUUGGGUUGUAAAGCUCUUUCGUCGGGGAAGAAAAUGACUGUACCCGAAUAAGAAGGUCCGGCUAACUUCGUGCCAGCAGCCGCGGUAAUACGAAGGGACCUAGCGUAGUUCGGAAUUACUGGGCUUAAAGAGUUCGUAGGUGGUUGAAAAAGUUGGUGGUGAAAUCCCAGAGCUUAACUCUGGAACUGCCAUCAAAACUUUUCAGCUAGAGUUUGAUAGAGGAAAGCAGAAUUUCUAGUGUAGAGGUGAAAUUCGUAGAUAUUAGAAAGAAUACCAAUUGCGAAGGCAGCUUUCUGGAUCAUUACUGACACUGAGGAACGAAAGCAUGGGUAGCGAAGAGGAUUAGAUACCCUCGUAGUCCAUGCCGUAAACGAUGUGUGUUAGACGUUGGAAAUUUAUUUUCAGUGUCGCAGCGAAAGCGAUAAACACACCGCCUGGGGAGUACGACCG